CGAGUGGCGGACGGGUGAGUAAUGCUUGGGAAUAUGCCAAUGGGUGGGGGACAACAGUUGGAAACGACUGCUAAUACCGCAUAAUGUCUUCGGACCAAAGGAGGGGCUCUUCGGACCUUUCGCCUAUUGAUUAGCCCAAGUGGGAUUAGCUAGUUGGUAAGGUAAUGGCUUACCAAGGCAUCGAUCCCUAGCUGGUCUUAGAGGAUGACCAGCCACACUGGAACUGAGACACGGUCCAGACUCCUACGGGAGGCAGCAGUGGGGAAUAUUGCACAAUGGGGGAAACCCUGAUGCAGCCAUGCCGCGUGUGUGAAGAAGGCUUUCGGGUUGUAAAGCACUUUCAGUUGUGAGGAAAGGGUGUUACUUAAUACGUAACAUCUGUGACGUUAACAACAGAAGAAGCACCGGCUAACUCCGUGCCAGCAGCCGCGGUAAUACGGAGGGUGCGAGCGUUAAUCGGAAUUACUGGGCGUAAAGCGCGCGUAGGUGGUUAAUUAAGUCAGAUGUGAAAGCCCAGGGCUCAACCUUGGAACUGCAUUUGAUACUGGUUAACUAGAGUUUUGUAGAGGGUGGUAGAAUUUCAGGUGUAGCGGUGAAAUGCGUAGAGAUCUGAAGGAAUACCAGUGGCGAAGGCGGCCACCUGGACAGUAACUGACACUGAGGCGCGAAGGCGUGGGGAGCAAACGGGAUUAGAUACCCC
rnacentral:rRNA from 1 species